UGCAGAGACUCUGGCCACAGGAAGUGUCAGUAUCCUUUGGUGCAGCUGUGAAUGGUGCCCAGGAGCUGAGCGUCUUGUAGUGCCUGAAGGGCGCAUUGGUGGCCACCCCCCGUGAGCGAGAGGACAUCCAGCCCCCACCUCAGGGGACUCAGUGGUUGGAGAAAGUUCCUGAUUCAGCUCCACGUGGCUCUCCAUGGAGAAGCAGAAAGAGAAUCGUGUUUUCUUGCAGAGGCAUUGAGGCUUUGGGAACGAUCACUGCAGUGCCUGUCACGGGUCCUCAGGUCAGCUCCUUGCAGAGGUUGGCCGGGCAAGGAGCGGCAGUGCUACCUCAGGUUAGGCCAAAGACUCUGAUUCCAGACAGCCUCCCCGUUGCCCCGGGCCGGGACCGGCCACCCAAGCAGCCCCCAACAUUCCAGAAGGCCACCGUGGUCAGCGUCAAGAACCCCAGCCCAGCCCUCCCCACCGCCAACAACACUGUCAGCCAUGUGCCAGCGCCCGGCAGCCAGCC
rnacentral:lncRNA from 10 species